CUAACUCUCAACCCCAUUACAAGGGCUCGUAAAUUUCAUUCUCCUUGAAGGAAUUGCUGCAAGGGUUCAUCAACAUUUCAAAUAUUCAUGAGUUUUCACUUUUGUUUCUCUCUUUCUUCGCUUUAUUUCCCUCCGCAUUCACUCAUGCGCACAUUUUGAUUUUGGGUUGUAUCUGUGAUUGAUUUUCGCUUUAUUUCAAGAUUAAGGUUCAAUCCUUUGCACGUCUUUCCUUGGACAAGCGUAGAAAAAACCUUGAGUCAACUCAAACAAGUGGCUUCAUUGUACGGUUCACUCUUUGAACUCGAUCUUGGUCCCGUUCAUUAACCCUUAUUCGCCCCAACUAAAUCACCGUUCACAAGGCAAGUUAGAUUGACUGAAAAGGAUAGGCAACUCAAUUCAUUCAUUUGCUCUCUCUUAAUCAACAACAAGAACUCACUCUCAACACAUUUUAUCGCCAACAUAACUUGCAGUUAUUAAGAGGAACCUGACUUGGAAUCACCCGGAAAUGGAAAGUCUUCCUCUAAAGGGAGUCAUAUUCCUGAAGGCCAUGACUUAGAUUCACCUAGCACUGUUUAGUUUAUUUUUUUGUUUUUAAUUU